GUCAAUAUAGUGUUUUCAAAGAUAUCAGUGCGAUAUACCAAAGGAAAUGAUAGCAAAUUUCUGGAAUAAUCGUUCUGAAAGAAGUAGACAGAAAGGAAUACAAUAUAUAUUUGAGAGCUACAUUCAGAAUAUAAUUUGUUAGCGGAGUAUUGUGAAUAAAGAGGCCAUUAAAUCGAGGGAAAAUCUCACCGGUCCCUAUGCAAGCAUCAGACACCCAACGUCUUGACGACUCACAUGAAGGACAUAACCUUUACAGGAACAACAAUGUUCUUGCACAGUAGGUUGUGUGAAAGUUUCCCCGUGUAUAGCCAGCCUAAAAGUGAACCAUCAUCACCUGGUGAUCAAGACCGACGAUAAAAAUGAAGGAGUAACACUGUUCCUGCAAGCCGGCGCAGCAGGUUUCUUCUGAAUGCAGAGGAGUGGAGGCCAGACGCACAGACGACACCACCACCAGUGAGAAAGUUCAAGUACAUCCAUCAUGUGGAAUGAGGAAGGACGUGACUACUCCUACUGACUAGACAGAGGGGGAAUUAAAGGACAGUUCCUGUUUAUUGCAGCUUCUGCACAAUUUACCUGACCUGCGUGUCUUUGGACUGUGGGAGGAAACCCACGCAGAGUGGAACAUGCAAACUGCAGACAGAAAGACGCCAGCAGCAGCAGCAGCAGCAGUGCUAACAACAAACCCAAGCUAUGUAUUGUAUCCAAAGUGUGCUGCACUUCAAACACAAUAAAAUAUAGAACAUCUGCAUUUGCAUAAGCUGUCUUCCCAUGGUAGACCUAUUAACAUAAUCUAAUGCAUUGGAGUGGAACUAACAUAUUUACAACAAUAAAUGUUGCAAACAGGCUAAAUA